UACACUUUAGUAUAUAAUGUACAGAGAUUUUUGGAUUCUCGGGGGGUAGAUUAAUUCUAUCAAGUGUAUAU
rnacentral:tRNA from 1 species